GCGAUGGAAAGAUGAAAAGAACUUUGAAAAGAGAGUGAAAAAGUACGUGAAAUUGUUGAAAGGGAAGGGCAUUUGAUCAGACAUGGUGUUUUGCGGCCCUCGCUCCUUGUGGGUGGGGUCACCGCAGUUCACUGGGCCAGCAUCAGUUUUGGUGGCAGCAGAAACCCUUAGGAAUGUGACUUUCUCUUCGGAGGAAGUGUUAUAGCCUAAGGUUAUACUGCCAACCGGGACUGAGGACUGCGGCUUCGGCCAAGGAUGCUGGCAUAAUGGUUAAAUGCCGCCCGUCUUGAAACACGGACCAAGGAGUCUAACGUCUAUGCGAGUGUUUGGGUGUAAAACCCGUACGCGUAAUGAAAGUGAACGUAGGUGAGGGCCUCUUUAGAGGUGCAUCAUCGACCGAUCCUGAUGUCUUCGGAUGGAUUU
rnacentral:rRNA from 1 species